rnacentral:lncRNA from 1 species
AAACUAGUUGCCCAUCUCUGUGCUGCUUUGCAAAGCUAAUUACAACAAAUACUGAUUUGAAUGCUGAAUUUCUUUUCGUGAAGUUUUUGUCCAUGAAGCUUGCUGCUGUUGAUAAUAGACAAAAAUAUGGACUCGAUCAAUUUCUAUUGGGAGAUGUAAGUAAAGAUUACCAGAGAAAUAAUAUAGUUUACUUAAGCCGUUAAGCGCUACCUUCGAGCUUCAUCUUAGUUCUUUUCUAUGUAGAUCCAUCAGUCACAAGGAGGAAUUACUUCCACUGUAGAUAAUCUUGAAAUGGGCUCCUUUUACUCCCUUCAAGGUAAUGUUUCGCAAGUGACUUUGUCAACACUAGCACAGAUUUGAGCCCCGGAUGUUUAUCAACCCUUAAUCAAUGUUCUGAUCUUAAUUAUCGACUUCCAGUUUCAAAUCGCAAGUGUAUGGAAAGAGAAAAACCCAAGUGUAUGGUAAGAACCAAAUGGAUUUCGUCUUUAACUUGGAUCCGGACACUUUAAAAUCAAAUGCCCACAUCUAAAAUUUAGAUUUUAAUGAUUUCGCUAUUUCUUUAUCCCUUUUCCAUUUUUUCUUCCAAAAAAGUUCAAUCAGAGGGUAACAGCCACUUAAUCUUGGAGUUGUUUUGCAUUUUCAGGAUUUAAUAAACUAAGAGGUGCAAGUUUCCUGGUGAGUCCGACAUAUAAUCUUGUUUUGAGGAGGUUCUUUGAGGUUGACUUGACUUCUAUUACUACAUAACUUUGUUGCUUCUAAGCGUUAAUCUUAGGAUUUGUAAACAAAAUUUCGUUAUUGUACUCACGAAAGGCUCUUAUUCCUCAAAUUUUAGCUAACAGAGAUGAGUUUGAAGGUAGUAGCAUAGUCAAAUUCAUGGAAUGAAC